UACGAAGGGGGCUAGCGUUGUUCGGAUUUACUGGGCGUAAAGCGCACGUAGGCGGAUCGUUAAGUCGGGGGUGAAAUCCUGGAGCUCAACUCCAGAACUGCCUUCGAUACUGGCGAUCUUGAGUCCGGAAGAGGUGAGUGGAACUCCUAGUGUAGAGGUGGAAUUCGUAGAUAUUAGGAAGAACACCAGUGGCGAAGGCGGCUCACUGGUCCGGUACUGACGCUGAGGUGCGAAAGCGCGGGGAGCAAACAGG
rnacentral:rRNA from 1 species